AUGGCUGGACAGUGUGUUCCGGGGGGGACGUGCCCAUCCCCAUGGACACAUGAGACGGCGCGACACCCCGAUGGCCAGAGAGGCUGCCGAAAAGCUCUGGGUGUCCAAUGCUGCUCUGACGGGGGGCGUCGCGGCCAGCCGCUGCCCCAGGACACGGGGGCGAGAAGACUGCGCCGGAGACUCCUUGGGGCUUCCGUGGCGGCGUGUGCUGGGCAGGAGCUUCCCGGGCGCUGCUUUGACACUUGGACACCAGGACCGUCGGCCCCUUCGGUCCAUGGGGAAUUCUGUGCCGAUUCAAGGCCUCUUUUGCCUUUUGCCUUAUGUUGCCCGGCAUGCGCGAAGAUGGAGCGCCGCCGAGGAGCCCCGCGAUGGUGGCUUCUGCUAAACAGCAGCCCAUUCGUGGGCGUUUCGGAAGACGGAAGGACGGGAUUGGAGGGUUUCCUACGGACGGACGCUCCGAUGGCCGGCCAGGAUCUGCCCCCGAGGGGAGCGUGUGGAGCUUGGCAGUGGGCUUCCUCCAGCUCAUGCCUCCCCCCGUGGGUUAGGGAGCCCCUCGUCCCCCUCCCUCGGCGGCCCAGGAAAGUCACGGCCCGCCUUUGGGGCCGGAAGAACACGGGCCUCGCUCCUUCCUCUGGCCUCCUUCGCGGGCCUUUCCACAGAAAGGGGGAUGGUGGGGCCUGCCGAGUCGGCCGUCUGCCCGUAGAUCUCAGAGGGAAGAGCGAAGUCGACCCCAGAUUGCACUUGAAUUCAUACGCAGGCGUGUUGGCUUUGGAUGGACAGGCCCGAGGGGGCUGGAGCCUCCGGGAGGGAGCCAGGCUCGGCCGCUGGCACGGGGCGGGCCGGUGCGUAGCAGGCUGUGUCUCGUUCACGGCGGUCUGCCUUCUCCCCAUUCGUCGCCGUUCACAAGGUGCGUGUCUGGGGAAGCCACCCGCGGGCCCCUCCCCAAAGCUGUCCGGGGGCGUCUUCUCUGGCUCCUGCCGGCUUCCCUGGGGCCCAGGAGGCUGCCCUCCGGCCCCAGGAUUUCCCCCAGUUUGCCCGCUAACAGAACUCCAGGGAAGAGAGCGGGGCCUGCCCGACACUCCCUCUGAGCCCACGUGUUUGCAGAAAGGCCUUCAGGGCGCCUCCGGGGAGGGGAGCAAAGAUCUUGCUGGGCAGCUGGUGGGGGCCGGAGGAGAGGGACGGCCAUAA
rnacentral:lncRNA from 1 species